rnacentral:rRNA from 1 species
UACGGGGGGGGCAAGCGUUGUUCGGAAUUACUGGGCGUAAAGGGCUCGUAGGCGGCCAACUAAGUCCGACGUGAAAUCCCAAGGCUUAACCUUGGAACUGCGUCGGAUACUGGAUGACUUGAGUUCGGGAGAGGGAUGCGGAAUUCCAGGUGUAGCGGUGAAAUGCGUAGAUAUCUGGAGGAACACCGGUGGCGAAGGCGGCAUCCUGGACCGACACUGACGCUGAGAGCGAAAGCCAGGGGAGCAAACGGGG